UUUACGUGUUUAAUUUAUUUGGAUUCUAUAUCCCUCUCUUUAAAAGCUUUUCUUUCUUUCUGUCAAUCUAUUUACAGCUUUUGUUUUCAACCACUUGCUUUUUCCCCCCUCCCUCUCUUGUAUACUUUAAAUUGAUUUAAUCCUCCUUUUUCCCUUUGUUUCUUUGUUGUUCUUCAUUCAGCUAUAUAUACAUAUAGAUUGGAUUUUUAUAUCUUCUUUGUGAGGUUUGAUCCCUAGGUAAAAUAGAUAUUUGCUACAAUUGUCUUUUUCUAUUCAUUUAACAAGAUGUCGCUUAUGCCAAAUUAGAUUCAGGUAAAAGAAUAAAGAAAGAAGAGAAUUGAGGUGGAUGUGAUCACCAUUGAAGACUCAGAUGAUGAGUCCAAAACAAUCUAAGCAUAUGAUGUAGUUUUUGUGUUGUUUCUUCUUAAUAAAGGUUGUAAAGACUGUUAUCAAAAUGUUAGUGUCUUAUUAAAUAUGGGGGAAAUAUGAUGUAGUUGCUUUUUUAUAUCAUCUAGGACUACUGGGUUGUCCCUUUAUCCGUAGUAUUAAUAUAUGUAUGUUUUGCUGUUCUGAACAAAGUCAAUUGUUAUACAUUUAGCAUAUGUCGAUGAUAUAGUAAUUUCAAUGUCUAGGGA